rnacentral:rRNA from 1 species
AACGAACGCUGGCGGCAUGCCUAACACAUGCAAGUCGAACGAGACCUUCGGGUCUAGUGGCGCACGGGUGCGUAACGCGUGGGAACCUGCCCUUAGGUUCGGAAUAACUCCCCGAAAGGGGUGCUAAUACCGGAUAAUGUCUUCGGACCAAAGAUUUAUCGCCUUUGGAUGGGCCCGCGUUGGAUUAGCUAGUUGGUAGGGUAAAAGCCUACCAAGGCGACGAUCCAUAGCUGGUCUGAGAGGAUGAUCAGCCACACUGGGACUGAGACACGGCCCAGACUCCUACGGGAGGCAGCAGUGGGGAAUAUUGGACAAUGGGCGAAAGCCUGAUCCAGCAAUGCCGCGUGAGUGAUGAAGGCCUUAGGGUUGUAAAGGUCUUUUACCCGGGAUGAUAAUGACAGUACCGGGAGAAUAAGCUCCGGCUAACUCCGUG